GAGAGCACUCCAGAAGAUGCGGAGCACUCAAGAAUAGUUUUGGAGUGAUGUUUACUCUCGUAAAUAGUUAAAUACAACAUUAAGAAUAAUUGAAAAGAGUUAUUUGUGUUAAACAUUUUUACAAUAUACUAUUUUUCGUCGGGGUCGGGUUCUGUUCACGUGUACAGUGUUUAUACUGUUCAUGUCGACAGUGCCGGGCCUCGCCAUAUGUCUUGCCCUCCAUCUCGCAACCUCCUGAAGCUUCAGAGAUCUCGACACCAUCUCUUUUUUCCUUUAUGCUGCUCCUUUUGUCUGUCGCCCUUCCUCUCACUUCCCGCUCUUGAACCUUCUACAGCAGCUCCUUUUCCUUUCUAAAGGAUCGAGAGAGAUCUCGAGAGUUUCUCCUUUUUGUCCUCUGUUAUCAAUCUGCUCUUUCUCUGUCUUUCGUUUGGCAGUCUCCGGGCUCUCUUUCUUCGAUGAGAUUUUGCCCUUCCUGCUGCGCUAUUGCUUUUUUUAUAUUCAGAUACAGUCAGAUGGGGCGUCUCUGAAUGUUGCAUGAAGGAAGGCCAUUUUGCAGGUUCCGAGCUCAAUGAUCUACAUCGAUAAAACGUGGGCUUCAUUUGUUUUCAGGUUGCGAGCUAACCAAAUCGGUAGGACAAUGAGAUGCAGAGAUGCAGUACUGAUGCAUUAGAUAUGAUCUCUCCAUGCUCUAGGUAGAAACUCCAGGAUUGUAGUGUAACAAUGAAAUAAAUGAUCAUUCUAUAUUGAUAUUAUCAAGAAGCUUAUUUUGAUCACUUUAUGUGAAACAUUCGCAUAUUUACCAUACAACCCGCUGCAACGCGCGGGCAUACUUGCU